rnacentral:lncRNA from 1 species
UACUGAUCCUGUAGUUUUUAUAAUCCCUAUGAUUUGUAACUUUCAGAUGUCUUUUCAGAGGAGCUGCUUGGUCUACCUCCCCCAUAGGAUAUAGAAUUUUCCAUUGAUCUACUUCCAAAAACUCAACCAAUUUCAAACCUUGCUUAGCGCAUGAGACGCACCAAACUUGCUGAACUUGUGCACUAGCUCUUCGAGCUUCUUGGACAAAGAUUCAUUCACCUUAGCCAUUCUU